rnacentral:rRNA from 1 species
AUGGAUCCUGUCGUGACCAGCAGUAGCAGCAGCAGGAGGAGAGGAGGCUACGGCUGCAAGGAGAGCUGCCAUGGCCACUGCCUACCUCCUCACUCUGCCAAAUGCCUCUGCCUCUACCUGCUGCUCUCGCUGAUCGUCCUCGUCCUCGUCGCGGCCGUGCUGCUCGUCGUCUUCGUCACGAGGCUCAAGAAGCCGACCUUCUACCCGCAGUCCGUGCAGAUGGACAGGUCGUUCAGCCUCAGACCGGCGUCUUCGAACCGCAGCGGCGACAACGCGACGUCGUCGUCCUCGUGCUUGGUGGCGUCGCUGCUGUUCGCGGCGCAGAACCUGAACGGGAUCGGGAUAAGGUACAGCGGGGCGGACCUCGGCGUGGCCCUGCCCCUACGCGACCGAGUCGGUCGGCGCCAUGGACGUGCCGGUGUUCUACCAGCCGCCGCGGAGCAGCAUCGUGAUGGUGCUCAUGCACGCCGUGUUCGAGGAGUCCAACGUCAGCCGGCUCGUCGUCAGCGAGCUGUCGGCGCAGAGGAAGCUCGUCGAGAUCAGGAUCGCCGGGAGCAUCGACGCCACCACGCACAUCAUGAAUUUCCCUCUGACAAAGCUAUUCAGUUUACGCUCGAUUGCAGGAUAGCAACUAACUACACCGACAUAGUGCUCCGGGAAGGGAUUGAGUCUGCAACUAUAUGCAAGGACUCAGAACAGUGA